UAUUCAAAGGUUUAACAACCACCAUAACAUCUUCAAUGUUAUACUCUAAAUAUGAGCUAUUUGAAU
rnacentral:tRNA from 1 species